AGUAACGACAAAACGGGUGAAAAACCCGUUCGCCGAAAGACCAAGGGUUCCAGUCCAACGUUAAUCGGGGCUGGGUGAGUCGACCCCUAAGGCGAGGCCGAAAGGCGUAGUCGAUGGGAAAAUGGUUAAUAUUCCAUUACUUCUGUGUAAUGCGAUGAGAGGACGGAGAAGGCUAAAUCAGCCUGGCGUUGGUUGUCCAGGUGAAAGGAUGUAGGCAUGUAUCUUAGGCAAAUCCGGGGUACUCUAUGCUGAGAUCUGAUAGCAAGCUGUACUUGUACAGCAGUGGUUGAUGCCAUGCUUCCAGGAAAAGUCUCUAAGCUUCAGUUACACAGGAAUCGUACCCGAAACCGACACAGGUGGUCAGGUCGAGUAGACCAAGGCGCUUGAGAGAACUCUGCUGAAGGAACUAGGCA
rnacentral:rRNA from 1 species